UUCGGGACGCCGGCGAGUGGCGAACGGGUGAGUAACACGUGGAGACCUGCCCUGGGGUGGGGGAUAACAACUGGAAACGGUUGCUAAUACCGCAUACGCCUUACGAGGGAAAGAUUUAUUGCCCCUGGAGGGUUCCGCGUCGGAUUAGCUUGUUGGUGGGGUAACGGCCUACCAAGGCGACGAUCCGUAGCUGGUCUUAGAGGAUGAUCAGCCACACUGGAACUGAGACACGGUCCAGACUCCUACGGGAGGCAGCAGUGGGGAAUAUUGCGCAAUGGGGGCAACCCUGACGCAGCGAUGCCGCGUGGGUGAAUAAGGCCUUAGGGUUGUAAAGCCCUUUCAGUGGGAACGAUGAUGACGGUACCCACAGAAGAAGCCCCGGCUAACUCCGUGCCAGCAGCCGCGGUAAUACGGAGGGGGCGAGCGUUGUUCGGAAUUAUUGGGCGUAAAGAGCGCGUAGGCGGCUUGUCAAG
rnacentral:rRNA from 1 species